CGCACUGCUUGUUCCCAGUUGUUGCAACAAGUUUGCAACAAGCUGUUAACAAAUUUUAACGGGCUUGAUGGCAUUAUCAGAUUUGUUACAAGGUUGUGCUAACAAGUCUGAUACAGUCAUGAUAAACAAGAAUGUUACAAGGUUGAUGACACAAGGUUGUAAAAAUACUGCCAUAUCAUGACUGUAUCGGACUUGUUGGAACAACCUUGCAACAAGUCUGAUAAUAUCAACAAGGUUGUUACAAAUUGUUGACAGCUUGUUCCAAACUUGUUGACAACUUGUGACAAGCAGUGCG